UACUUGGUUGAUCCUGCCAAGGAAGCACACUUAGGUCAUAGAUUAAGCCAUGCAAGUGUUAGUUCAGGUAACGAAACUGCGAAUAGCUCAUUAAUACGCUCAGAAUCUAUUUGGCGGCGACCAACAGGUCUUAAAUGGAUAGCAGCAGCAACUCUGGUGCUAAUACAUGCGAUUGUUUCUCCAGAUGUGAAUUAUGGAGGAAAAGUUGACCUCAUCAGAGGCACGCCAUUCGACUGAGUGACCUAUCAGCUUGUACUUAGGGUCUUUACCUAGGUAGGCUAUCACGGGUAACGGGCGGUUACCGUCGGACUGCCGGAGAAGGCGCCUGAGAGAUAGCGACUAUAUCCACGGGUAGCAGCAGGCGCGAAACUUUCCCACUCGAGACUUUCGGAGGAGGUAAUGACCAGUUCCAUUGGUGCCUUUUGGUACUGUGGAUAGGGGUACGGUUUUCCACCGUACCGAAACCUAGCAGAGGGCCAGUCUGGUGCCAGCAGCUGCGGUAAUUCCAGCUCUGCGAGUUUGCUCCCAUAUUGUUGCAGUUAAAACGCCCGUAGUCUGAAUUGGCCAGCAAUGGUCGUACGUAUUUUUACGUUCACUGUGAACAAAUCAGGACGCUUAGAGUAUGGCCACAUGAAUGACUCAGCGCAGUAUGAAGUCUUUGUUUUCUUCCGAAAACAAGCUCAAUGAGAGCCAUCGGGGGUAGAUCUAUCUCAUGACGAGUGGUGGAAUACUUUGACUCAUGAGAGAGAAGCUGAGGCGAAGGCGUCUACCUAGAGGGUUUCUGUCGAUCAAGGGCGAGAGUAGGAGUAUCCAACAGGAUUAGAGACCCUGGUAGUUCCUACCUAAACGAUGCCGACAGGAGUUUGUCAUU
rnacentral:ncRNA from 2 species